rnacentral:lncRNA from 1 species
AAAAACAUAGAUACAGGAAAUUGGAUACCAGAAACUCUCUCAUUCUUUGAUUUCCCUCGCUGUAACCACCACUACAUUGAUAUUAUCUUGAUUUUUAAUUCUGGGUAAUUUGGAUGUAUUUUUUCUUUUCCUCUGGCCUUACCUAUUUUUCAAAUAUAUUUAUUUGUGUUUUCCUGCUUUCUGGGAGUUUUUCUCAAUAUGAUCUUCCAGUUUCAAUUUUGUUCCAUUUGAUCUUUAUGCUAUACAUUGUGUUUACUUCAACUAUUUUAUUUUUCAUUCCUAGUAAUUUGGCUUGGUUCUUUCCUGUGUUUUUUUGUUCUUUCAUGUCACUGUAUUUCUUUUAGUAUAGUUAAUUUAAAAUUCUUGGUCAGUCACUUCUAAAAUUUCUGCUGCUGAUAGGUCUGUAGUUGACUGUGCUGUCUGUGUUUUGAACUGGUUGUACUCUCAAAUACCUUGUUACUUUGG